rnacentral:misc_RNA from 1 species
UUGUUGUAUAACCCCAAUUUCAGGUACGCUUCUGGGAAGUUAAAAAUACAACGCCAAUUGACUCAACUGAGAAGCAAGGACAAACAAUCCAACAGGACCAAAAUUUCUUGCUCAGCUAAUAUUUUUUUGGUCAACUUGCAAUGGGCAUACAUAAAAGAACUGCCCUAUCCCAUAAUUGUAAAAGUAAAGGGAGGGAUAUCCAAUCCAGGAUUUCAGAUAUCUGCCUCCAGGCAACUGAUUACCACUUUCCGCCUCAUGUUUAUGACUUAUAAUUCCAACAUUUGCCCCAAACGGGAUUUAUGCCAUAUCUCGCAAAGCCGUUAUAAAAGCCGUUUGUCGGCAAUUAAUAUAUCUUUCCAAGCUUCAUAAAACAUCCAAGUGAUUCCAGAGGAAGGCAUGACUUUUAAACAACUUGCACCCCAUCCUCUGUAAAGUCCCAUCAAACCCUCCUCCCGAAUGACUUCUGAAAGUGCUGCUGCCAUGUGAGGAGGACACUGACCCUGCAAAGCUCCCACCAUUAGUCGUUUCCUGGCAACCUCCAAUGGAAAGCUGAUGGUGCUAGCGGUAAAGCCCGCAAGAGCUCCAACCAAGAGCAUCUCUGGACGGUUUAAUGACUUCUUCUUCCUUGACUGACAGUAAGAAUUCUUCAUUGUCUCGUACAUGAAAUAGUAACAUGUACUGUAUGGAAGCAUGCCAAUCAGUGUAGGUGAAAUACCAGCAUAAAAGGCACCAAUCCCUCCAUCCUUGUAGAUUUUGGUAAUUGCAAUGCCUAGACUAGGGUACAGAUCACGACUUACAGUCAAUCGAUCCUUCAAAACUUCAAGAGGAUGGCAUGCAAGCGUGCUAACAAUUCCAGCAGCAGCACCAGCUACUGCAACUGGGGAAAUCCAGGAGAGAGAAAAGUUCAAGCUGACAGGACCCAUUUGCACUCUUGGACAGUCAGUCUGAUUCCAUUUCUCUUGUGUUGACAUCAUAACCCGCUUAACAUACUCAAAUGUUCCGAGCUCAAUAGCCUGGGUAGGGAUUAUACGAAGCAUAUUGAUUGCAUUGCCAGCCCAAAGCCCUUGCCAACCCUGCUGCUCAAUGAUCUCAAAGAAACUACCAGAGAUGUUUUUGGAUCCAACACCAACGACCAUUCUUGUUCUGAUGGUUUCUAAAGGAGCAAGUACAGCCUUGGUCAUAGCCCCAGCUAAAGCCCCACUGAGAAACUCACCAACUUCUCUAGUCUUAACAAACUCUCUAAUAGAGAGCUUGAAAUGAGGUAGUUGAAAUCGGAGGUGAGGAGGAGGAGGAUCCGACUUAUCGAUUUCGAGGUCUUUGGGAAGCAUCAUAGUAACAGUGCAGACAUCUCCAAAAACCCCAGCUCCGUAUUUCUUCUUCUGCGAUUGGGUUUCAAAAUCCAUAAUUUUGUCCUUUCGAUCCGUAGCGUAAGUAAAUUAAUUUUGAGGAAAAAAAAAUAAAUUGAUAAUAAUAAUAAUAAGGAUGAGAAACAGAGGAGGCUUAAGAGAGAAAAGAAAUUGCGAUAAGAAUCGUUUAUUAAUAUUUCAAUGAGGAAGAAGAAACAGACGUGCCUGAGAAGGGAACAAGGGAUGGGCUAAGAGAUAUCUAUCGAGCGUGUUUAGGGUUUUGUGAUUUUGAUUUUGAAGUGCUGAAGUUGGGCGCUUCUUUUUGGGAGGUCUGCGUCUCUCUCUCUCUAACUC